rnacentral:lncRNA from 1 species
GGCUGCUCCCUGCUCUGAGCUGCUGGCUAUUAGCUGUCAUCCAUCCUGGAUGUGAGACAAGCAGGUGGAUAAGAGAGACAUCAUCUCGUUAGGACCUGCAGGAACAGGCAAGCGGGGUGCCUAUCAGGGGCGCUCAUCUCCGAGGCAGGCUCGGACUCCAGCACGAAGCACCAGGAACUUCCAAUGUCUUGACACAACUGAAGUUGAUUCCAUCCAACUCACCGCCCUCCAACUUGUCCGGCAAUGCCCACAACCACUCCUGAGGUUGUACACCAGGGCCCCCACUGAAGGGCCGGUCAAAAUUGUAGCUUCCAGCGCCAUCCACACCCACUGAGCACACUCUUUGGUAAUGGAGACAGAGGACCUACAUUUCUAACAAGUUCUGGUCACUUUGAUGUA